UUAAGCGACUAAGCGUACACGGUGGAUGCCCUGGCAGUCAGAGGCGAUGAAGGACGUGCUAAUCUGCGAUAAGCGUCGGUAAGGUGAUAUGAACCGUUAUAACCGGCGAUUUCCGAAUGGGGAAACCCAGUGUGUUUCGACACACUAUCAUUAACUGAAUCCAUAGGUUAAUGAGGCGAACCGGGGGAACUGAAACAUCUAAGUACCCCGAGGAAAAGAAAUCAACCGAGAUUCCCCCAGUAGCGGCGAGCGAACGGGGAGCAGCCCAGAGCCUGAAUCAGUGUGUGUGUUAGUGGAAGCGUCUGGAAAGGCGCGCGAUACAGGGUGACAGCCCCGUACACAAAAAUGCACAUGCUGUGAGCUCGAUGAGUAGGGCGGGACACGUGGUAUCCUGUCUGAAUAUGGGGGGACCAUCCUCCAAGGCUAAAUACUCCUGACUGACCGAUAGUGAACCAGUACCGUGAGGGAAAGGCGAAAAGAACCCCGGCGAGGGGAGUGAAAAAGAACCUGAAACCGUGUACGUACAAGCAGUGGGAGCACGCUUAGGCGUGUGACUGCGUACCUUUUGUAUAAUGGGUCAGCGACUUAUAUUCUGUAGCAAGGUUAACCGAAUAGGGGAGCCGAAGGGAAACCGAGUCUUAACUGGGCGUUAAGUUGCAGGGUAUAGACCCGAAACCCGGUGAUCUAGCCAUGGGCAGGUUGAAGGUUGGGUAACACUAACUGGAGGACCGAACCGACUAAUGUUGAAAAAUUAGCGGAUGACUUGUGGCUGGGGGUGAAAGGCCAAUCAAACCGGGAGAUAGCUGGUUCUCCCCGAAAGCUAUUUAGGUAGCGCCUCGUGAAUUCAUCUCCGGGGGUAGAGCACUGUUUCGGCAAGGGGGUCAUCCCGACUUACCAACCCGAUGCAAACUGCGAAUACCGGAGAAUGUUAUCACGGGAGACACACGGCGGGUGCUAACGUCCGUCGUGAAGAGGGAAACAACCCAGACCGCCAGCUAAGGUCCCAAAGUCAUGGUUAAGUGGGAAACGAUGUGGGAAGGCCCAGACAGCCAGGAUGUUGGCUUAGAAGCAGCCAUCAUUUAAAGAAAGCGUAAUAGCUCACUGGUCGAGUCGGCCUGCGCGGAAGAUGUAACGGGGCUAAACCAUGCACCGAAGCUGCGGCAGCGACACUAUGUGUUGUUGGGUAGGGGAGCGUUCUGUAAGCCUGUGAAGGUGUGCUGUGAGGCAUGCUGGAGGUAUCAGAAGUGCGAAUGCUGACAUAAGUAACGAUAAAGCGGGUGAAAAGCCCGCUCGCCGGAAGACCAAGGGUUCCUGUCCAACGUUAAUCGGGGCAGGGUGAGUCGACCCCUAAGGCGAGGCCGAAAGGCGUAGUCGAUGGGAAACAGGUUAAUAUUCCUGUACUUGGUGUUACUGCGAAGGGGGGACGGAGAAGGCUAUGUUGGCCGGGCGACGGUUGUCCCGGUUUAAGCGUGUAGGCUGGUUUUCCAGGCAAAUCCGGAAAAUCAAGGCUGAGGCGUGAUGACGAGGCACUACGGUGCUGAAGCAACAAAUGCCCUGCUUCCAGGAAAAGCCUCUAAGCAUCAGGUAACAUCAAAUCGUACCCCAAACCGACACAGGUGGUCAGGUAGAGAAUACCAAGGCGCUUGAGAGAACUCGGGUGAAGGAACUAGGCAAAAUGGUGCCGUAACUUCGGGAGAAGGCACGCUGAUAUGUAGGUGAAGCGACUUGCUCGUGGAGCUGAAAUCAGUCGAAGAUACCAGCUGGCUGCAACUGUUUAUUAAAAACACAGCACUGUGCAAACACGAAAGUGGACGUAUACGGUGUGACGCCUGCCCGGUGCCGGAAGGUUAAUUGAUGGGGUCAGCGCAAGCGAAGCUCUUGAUCGAAGCCCCGGUAAACGGCGGCCGUAACUAUAACGGUCCUAAGGUAGCGAAAUUCCUUGUCGGGUAAGUUCCGACCUGCACGAAUGGCGUAAUGAUGGCCAGGCUGUCUCCACCCGAGACUCAGUGAAAUUGAACUCGCUGUGAAGAUGCAGUGUACCCGCGGCAAGACGGAAAGACCCCGUGAACCUUUACUAUAGCUUGACACUGAACAUUGAGCCUUGAUGUGUAGGAUAGGUGGGAGGCUUUGAAGUGUGGACGCCAGUCUGCAUGGAGCCGACCUUGAAAUACCACCCUUUAAUGUUUGAUGUUCUAACGUUGACCCGUAAUCCGGGUUGCGGACAGUGUCUGGUGGGUAGUUUGACUGGGGCGGUCUCCUCCUAAAGAGUAACGGAGGAGCACGAAGGUUGGCUAAUCCUGGUCGGACAUCAGGAGGUUAGUGCAAUGGCAUAAGCCAGCUUGACUGCGAGCGUGACGGCGCGAGCAGGUGCGAAAGCAGGUCAUAGUGAUCCGGUGGUUCUGAAUGGAAGGGCCAUCGCUCAACGGAUAAAAGGUACUCCGGGGAUAACAGGCUGAUACCGCCCAAGAGUUCAUAUCGACGGCGGUGUUUGGCACCUCGAUGUCGGCUCAUCACAUCCUGGGGCUGAAGUAGGUCCCAAGGGUAUGGCUGUUCGCCAUUUAAAGUGGUACGCGAGCUGGGUUUAGAACGUCGUGAGACAGUUCGGUCCCUAUCUGCCGUGGGCGCUGGAGAACUGAGGGGGGCUGCUCCUAGUACGAGAGGACCGGAGUGGACGCAUCACUGGUGUUCGGGUUGUCAUGCCAAUGGCACUGCCCGGUAGCUAAAUGCGGAAGAGAUAAGUGCUGAAAGCAUCUAAGCACGAAACUUGCCCCGAGAUGAGUUCUCCCUGACCCUUUAAGGGUCCUGAAGGAACGUUGAAGACGACGACGUUGAUAGGCCGGGUGUGUAAGCGCAGCGAUGCGUUGAGCUAACCGGUACUAAUGAACCGUGAGGCUUAACCUU
rnacentral:rRNA from 2 species